UAUACUAAGCACUCUGGGACAUACACUUCUGAUGGCCCUGCUCAAAUAACUUUGAGACCAUACUGCUGGACUAAGUUAGAAUUUCCAGAUUUCCAAAACUCUGAUGGAGAAGCUGUUGGGUGCAUGAUAUUGCUAACCUAAUAUCAAGCGGACAAGAAGUAAUUCUGUAAGACUGAAUGAAAUGAUGAAAAAUGAUUAUGGAUUUGGAAUAUUACUGAUGAAUUUGGAAUAUUACUGAUGAUUUAAUGUUCUAUUUCCUUUUUUCUCUUUUAAGCUACAUAUAAUUCAUAAAAAAUUUAGUAAAUUAUGAUUUUGUAAACAGAAAUGAAACAUUUUUUUCUUCUUGCCUCCUGUCUCCAGAAUUCAGAAACUCUUAAGUAUUCUUAUUUUCAUGGCAAUAUAAUUGUUUGCAUAGGUUUCGUAAGAAUCUGUCCUCCUGGUAACAAGCAUAAUUAGAAACAUUGAUUAUAUAACCAAGACUUUCACUGGAAUAUCAUAUUUGAGUUUGACAUGCACAGAAUCAAAUAUGACCAGACAGUUUUAAGGAAUGAAGUUGACUUUAUGGAGUCAAUGCGAACAAAGCCCUCUUGGGAAAGCCAUCCGAAUGCCUGGCUUAUAGGAUUCCCAGCCUUAGAGUUGAGUAAGGAAAGUCACUUCCUGGCAGGCCCAAGAACAUUAAAAUAUUUUGAGAACCUCAAGAAGAGAGGAAUUCAUCAGCAGUACAUAUACAGCACUAAAUGCACACAAGAGAAAGCAGGAAAGAUCU
rnacentral:lncRNA from 1 species